AUGAUAGCAGAAUUUUGGUUCCGGCAACAUUCUGAAAAUUUUGCGUGCUCUGAAUGUGAACUGCAACUAGUGAGAUGGUUUCAUGGCGUGGCUCCUUUUUAUCUUGAGAUGGAUUCAUGGCACGUCUUGAAUCAAUGGCUUGCUUUGCUUAAUCAUUCUACCUGCUGUAAACAAGUAAAGAAAAAAAAGGGUAAUCAUGCCAUCUGUUUCGCCCACAUGUGGUUGCUGCCUCGAGCUGGUUUGCGAGUAAUGCGUCCGGCGGUAAAUGUUUGUUUUCCGAACGGCCAAAACCGUGUUAAUUGA
rnacentral:rRNA from 1 species